GGCUUCGUGGUCGAGUGGUAAGGACAAUUGCUUCUCACUCUGGAGUCCCGGGUUCGAUUCCCAGUCAAGGACU
rnacentral:tRNA from 1 species